rnacentral:rRNA from 1 species
GUUGGUAGGGUAAUGGCCUACCAAGCCGAUGAUGUGUAGCUGGACUGAGAGGUUGAACAGCCACAUUGGGACUGAGACACGGACCAAACUCCUACGGGAGGCAGCAGUAGGGAAUUUUCGGCAAUGGAGGAAACUCUGACCGAGCAACGCCGCGUGAAUGACGAAGUACUUCGGUAUGUAAAGUUCUUUUAUCAAGGAAGAAAAGCAAAUGGCGAACCAUUUGUUUGCCGGUACUUGAUGAAUAAGCCCCGGCUAAUUAUGUGCCAGCAGCCGCGGUAAGACAUAAGGGGCAAGUGUUAUCCGGAAUUAUUGGGCGUAAAGGGUGCGUAGGCGGUCUAGUAAGUCAGUGGUGUAAUGGCAACGCUUAACGUUGUCCGGCUAUUGAAACUGCUAAACUUGAGUUAGAUAGAGGCGAGUGGAAUUCCAUGUGUAGCGGUAAAAUGCGUAAAUAUAUGGAGGAACACCAGAGGCGUAGGCGGCUCGCUGGGUCUUAACUGACGCUGAGGCACGAAAGCGUGGGGAGCAAACAGGAUUAGAUACCCUGGUAGUCCACGCCGUAAACGAUGAGUACUAAGUGUCGGGUUAAACCGGUACUGAAGUUAACACAUUAAGUACUCCGCCUGAGUAGUACGUACGCAAGUAUGAAACUUAAAGGAAUUGACGGGACUCCGCACAAGCGGUGGAUCAUGUUGUUUAAUUCGAAGAUACCCGAAAAACCUUACCAGGUCUUGACAUGUUUUUGCAAAAUGAUAGUAAUAUCGUGGAGGUUACCAGAAACACAGGUGGUGCAUGGUUGUCGUCAGCUCGUGUCGUGAGAUGUUAGGUUAAGUCCUAAAACGAGCGAAACCCUUAUCGUUAGUUGCCAGCACGUUAUGGUGGGGACUUUAACGAGACUGCCAAUGAUAAAUUGGAGGAAGGUGAGGAUCACGUCAAAUCAGCAUGCCCCUUAUGACCUGGGCUACAAACGUGAUACAAUGGCUGUUACAAAGGGUAGCUGAAACGCAAGUUCUUGGCCAAUCCCCAAAAACAGUCCCAGUCCGGAUUGAAGUCUGCACUCGACUUCUUGAAGUUGGAUCCCUA